UACGGGAGGCAGCAGUAAGGAAUUUUCGGCAAUGGGGGAAACCCUGACCGAGCAACGCCGCGUGAGUGAUGAAGGCCUUCGGGUCGUAAAGCUCUGUGGUAGAGGAAGAAUACCUUGAAUAGGAAAUGAUUCAGGGCUGACGGUACUCUGCUAGAAAGUCACGGCUUACUACGUGCCAGCAGCCGCGGUAAU
rnacentral:rRNA from 1 species